AGGACGAACGCUGGCGGCGUGCUUAACACAUGCAAGUCGAGCGGAAAGGCCCUUCGGGGUACUCGAGCGGCGAACGGGUGAGUAACACGUGGGUAACCUGCCCCUUGCUCUGGGAUAACUCCGGGGAAACCGGGGCUAAUACCGGAUAUGACACUCGCAGGCAUCUGCUGGGUGUGGAAAGUUUUUCGGCGAGGGAUCGGGCCCGCGGCCUAUCAGCUUGUUGGUGGGGUGAUGGCCUACCAAGGGCAGUGACGGGUAG
rnacentral:rRNA from 1 species